UACAGAGGGUGCAAGCGUUGUUCGGAAUUAUUGGGCGUAAAGCGCGUGUAGGCGGCUUGGCAAGUCGGGUGUGAAAUCCCUCAGCUUAACUGAGGAAGUGCGCCCGAAACUGCCGAGCUUGAGUACCGGAGAGGGUGGCGGAAUUCCCCAAGUAGAGGUGAAAAUUCGUAGAUAUGGGGAGGAACACCGGUGGCGAAGGCGGCCACCUGGACGGAUACUGACGCUGAGACGCGAAAGCGUGGGGAGCAAACAGG
rnacentral:rRNA from 1 species